UGCCCCGUGGCUGAGUUGGUUACAGCGUCCGACUGUUAUUCACCACGCAGUGAGCCGCUAUCGGAAGGUCGUGAGUUCGAGCCUCACCGGGGCAG